UACGGAGGGGGCUAGCGUUGUUCGGAAUUACUGGGCGUAAAGGGCGCGUAGGCGGCGAUCCAAGUUAGGCGUGAAAGCCCCGGGCUUAACCUGGGAAUUGCGCUUAAGACUGGACUGCUUGAGUGCGGGAGAGGUGAGUGGAAUUCCCAGUGUAGAGGUGAAAUUCGUAGAUAUUGGGAAGAACACCAGUGGCGAAGGCGGCUCACUGGCCCGCAACUGACGCUGAGGCGCGAAAGCGUGGGGAGCAAACAGG
rnacentral:rRNA from 1 species